rnacentral:rRNA from 1 species
GACGAACGCUGGCGGCGUGCCUAAUACAUGCAAGUAGAACGCUGAAGGAGGAGCUUGCUUCUCUGGAUGAGUUGCGAACGGGUGAGUAACGCGUAGGUAACCUGCCUGGUAGCGGGGGAUAACUAUUGGAAACGAUAGCUAAUACCGCAUAAUAGUAGAUGUUGCAUGACAUUUGCUUAAAAGGUGCAAUUGCAUCACUACCAGAUGGACCUGCGUUGUAUUAGCUAGUUGGUGAGGUAACGGCUCACCAAGGCAACGAUACAUAGCCGACCUGAGAGGGUGAUCGGCCACACUGGGACUGAGACACGGCCCAGACUCCUACGGGAGGCAGCAGUAGGGAAUCUUCGGCAAUGGACGGAAGUCUGACCGAGCAACGCCGCGUGAGUGAAGAAGGUUUUCGGAUCGUAAAGCUCUGUUGUAAGAGAAGAACGAGUGUGAGAGUGGAAGGUUCACACUGUGACGGUAUCUUACCAGAAAGGGACGGCUAACUACGUG